AUGUUUUGCAGUAGUUUUUUGACUUUUCUUCUUCGUCUUCUUCGACUUCUUGUUUAUCUUGUUCUUCUUAUUGUUGUCCUUGUUCUUUUUGUUCUUCUUCUUCUUCUUGUUUUUCUUGUUGUUCUUCUUGUUGUCGUUCUUAUUGUUGUCCUUGUUGUUCCUCUUGUUGUCGUUCUUGUUUUUGUUCUUGUCAUUCUUGUCGUUCAUGUUGUUCCUCUUGUUGUCGUUCUUGUUGUUGUUGUCGUCGUUCUUCUUGUUCUUCCUGUUGUUGUUCUUUUUGUUGUUCUUCUUGUCGUUCUUGUUGUUGUCCUUCUUGUCCUUGUCGUUCUUGUCCUUGUUGUUGUUCUUAGUCUUGUUGUCCUUGUUGUCCUUGUCGUCGUUCAUGUUGUUGUUCAUGUUGUCGUUCAUGUCGUCCUUGUUGUCGUCCUUGUUGUCAUCCUUGUUGUCGUCCUUGUUCUUCUUCUUCUUGUUCUCCUUCUUGUUCUUGUUGUCCUUGUUGUUUAUCUUGUUCUUAAUGUUGUCCUUGUUCUUUUUGUUCUUCUUCUUCUUCUUGUUCUUUUUGUUCUUCUUCUUCUUCUUUUUUUUCUUCUCCUUGUCCUUCUUCUUUUCCUUGUCGUUCUUCUUGUUCUUCUUGUUGUCGUUGUUGUUGUCGUCGUCCUUGUCGUCCUUCUUGUUGUCCUUGUUGUUGUCGUUUUUGUUGUCCUUGUUGUCGUUCUUGUUCUUUUUGUUGUUGUUCUUCUUCUUGUUCCUCUUGUUGUCCCUCUUGUUGACGUUGUUGUUGUUCUUGUUGUCGUUCUUGUUCUUGUUUUUCUUGUCGUCGUUCUUGUCGUCGUCCUUCUUGUUGUCCUUGUUGUUGUUUUUGUUGUCGUUUUUGUUGUCCUUGUUGUCGUUCUUGUUCUUUUUGUUCUUGUUGUCGUUCAUGUUGUCGUUCUUGUUGUCGUUCUUGUUGUCUGUCUUGUUGUCGUUCCUGUUGUCGUUCUUUUUGUUCUUGUUGUCGUUCAUGUUCUUCUUGUUCUUCUUGUUGUCGUUCUUGUUGUCGUUCUUGUUGUCGUUCUUGUUGUUGUUCCGUUGUUCUUGACGUUCAUGUUGUUCUUGUUGUGGUUUUUGUUGGUUAUGUUGUUGUUGUUCUUCUUCUUCUUCUUCUUCUUGUUCUUCUUGUUGUUCUUGUUUUCUUGUUGUUCUUCUUGUUGUGUUUCUUGUUAUUCUUGUUGUUGUGUUUCUUGUUGUUCUUGUUUCUUCUUCUUCUUGUUUUUCUUGUUCUUGUUGUUCUUGUUGUUCUUCUUGUUGUUCUUCCUGUUGUCGUUCUUUUUGUUCUUGUUGUCGUUCAUGUUCUUCUUGUUGUCGUUCUUUUCGUUCUUCUUGUCGUUCUUUUUGUUGUUGUUUUUCUUAUCGUUCUUGUUUUUGUCGUUGUUGUCCUCCUUGUUGUCGUUUUUUUCGUUGUUGUUGUUGUCCUUCUUGUUCUCGUGCUUGUUGUAG
rnacentral:lncRNA from 1 species